UACGUAGGGUGCGAGCGUUGUCCGGAAUUAUUGGGCGUAAAGAGCUCGUAGGCGGUUUGUUGCGUCGGCCGUGAAAACCUGCAGCUUAACUGUGGGCCUGCGGCCGAUACGGGCAGGCUAGAGUUCGGUAGGGGAGACUGGAAUUCCUGGUGUAGCGGUGAAAUGCGCAGAUAUCAGGAGGAACACCGGUGGCGAAGGCGGGUCUCUGGGCCGAUACUGACGCUGAGGAGCGAAAGCGUGGGGAGCGAACAGG
rnacentral:rRNA from 1 species